rnacentral:sRNA from 1 species
AGUCAGAGCUUCUCGUCUGAGGCUGCUGAGGCGGCGGCUGGUUUCGUGGUCGCGGUACCUGUUCCAACACGGCUCGCGGGCCCGUGCCGGCCCCGGUCCCCGGCGCGGCUGUCCGAGCCCCUGCGGCGGGCGGGCGAUGGUGCGGCGGAGCGCGCGGACGCGGGCGGCGCGGCGGCGGGCAUGAAGGAGGAUGGAAGGGCAGGACGAGGUGUCGGCGCGGGAGCAGCACUUCCACAGCCAAGUGCGGGAGUCCACGAUAUGUUUCCUUCUUUUUGCCAUUCUCUAUGUUGUUUCCUACUUCAUCAUCACAAGAUACAAGAGAAAAUCAGAUGAACAAGAAGAUGAAGAUGCCAUCGUCAACAGGAUUUCGUAUGUAUUUUAAAGUUCAGUUGUUCUGUUUCUGAAGUCAUCAGUUCUCAAAAUCCAAUUCUAAUUUUUGGACAGAAGUAUGGAAAAUAUUCACCCAGCACAUUACAAUAGCUUUAUCAUAUUAAUUUUAGAAAGCACAUGUAAGCAAAUAUGUGUGGAUAAUUUAGCACUGGUUCUCUCCUAUUGAAAUUUGCAUAUUUAAGGAGCUGACAGAUUUUAUCUUCAGGGGAUUAAAUGAGGAAAUGGCCUUAAUUUAAUUGCUUGGUCAUAAGAAAGAA